GUGGGGAAUUUUGGACAAUGGGCGCAAGCCUGAUCCAGCAAUGCCGCGUGCAGGAAGAAGGCCUUCGGGUUGUAAACUGCUUUUGUACGGAACGAAAAGGCUCUGGUUAAUACCUGGGGCUCAUGACGGUACCGUAAGAAUAAGCACCGGCUAACUACGUGCCAGCAGCCGCGGUAAUACGUAGGGUUCAAGCGUUAAUCGGAAUUACUGGGCGUAAAGCGUGCGCAGGCGGUUUUGUAAGACAGUGGUGAAAGCCCCGGGCUCAACCUGGGAACUGCCAUUGUGACUGCAAGGCUAGAGUGCGGCAGAGGGGGAUGGAAUUCCGCGUGUAGCAGUGAAAUGCGUAGAUAUGCGGAGGAACACCGAUGGCGAAGGCAAUCCCCUGGGCCUGCACUGACGCUCAUGCACGAAAGCGUGGGGAGCAAACAGGAUUAGAAACCCGUGUAGUCC
rnacentral:rRNA from 1 species